UACGAAGGGGGCUAGCGUUACUCGGAAUUACUGGGCGUAAAGCGUGCGUAGGCGGUUUGUUAAGUCCGUUGUGAAAGCCCUGGGCUCAACCUGGGAAUUGCAGUGGAUACUGGCGAGCUAGAGUGCGGUAGAGGAUGGUGGAAUUCCCGGUGUAGCGGUGAAAUGCGUAGAGAUCGGGAGGAACACCCGUGGCGAAGGCGGCCAUCUGGACCAGCACUGACGCUGAGGCACGAAAGCGUGGGGAGCAAACAGG
rnacentral:rRNA from 1 species